GCCCAACGUUGGAGAAGAACCCAUGGCUGAAGAGGAACCCAAUGUUGGACCCAACGUUGAACCCAACGGCGGCGUUGAACCCAACGUUGAUGAAGAACCCAAUGUUGGACCCAACUUUGACGAAGAACCCAACGUUGAGGAAGAACCCAAUGACGGCGUUGAACCCAACGUUGAAGGAGAACCCAAUGAGGAACCCAAUGGUGGGGCCAAGUUGGAUGAAGAACCCAACGUUGACCCCAUCGAUGGUGUUGAACCCAAUGUUGGACCCAACGUUGACCCCGUUGACCUUGACGUUGAUGAAGAACCCAACGUCGGCCCCAUUGACCUCUUUGAAGACGAAGAACCCAACGUUGGACCCAACGAGGAUGAAGAACCCAACGAUGACGAAGAACCCAACGAUGAUGAAGAACCCAACGUUGAUGAAGAACCCAACGUUGACCCCGACAACGGCGUUAAACCCAACGUUGAGUCCAUCGUUGGCCCCGUUGGCCUCUUUGAAGAUGAAGAACCCAACGUUGGACCCAACGACGACGAAGAAACCAAAACUGGACCCAACGAAGACGACGAACCCAACGUUGGAUCCAAUGAAGACGAAGAACCCAAAAUUGGCCCCAAUGAAGAUGAAGAACCCAAAGUUGGAUCCAACGAAGACGAAGAACCCAAGAUUGGACUCAAUGAUUGUGAAGAACCCAAUGAGGACCCCAAGUUUGGACCCAACGACGACGACCACGAACCCAAAAUUGGACUCAAUGAUUGUGCAGAACCCAACGUUGACCCCAACGAAGACGAAGAACCCAAAAUCGGCCCCGAUGAAGAAGAUGAAGAACCCAAAAUUGGACCCAACGACGCUGACGAACCCAACGUUGACCCCAACGAAGACGAAGAACCCAAAAUUGGACCCAACGAUGAUGAUGACGAACCCAACGUUGACCCCAACGAAGAUGACGAACCCAAAACUGGCCCCGAUAAAGAUGAAGAACCCAAAAUCGGCCCCAACGAUGACAAC
rnacentral:lncRNA from 1 species